GACAGAGGGGGCAAGCGUUGCUCGGAAUCACUGGGCGUAAAGGGCGCGUAGGCGGGAUGGCAAGUCAGUCGUGAAAUCUCUCGGCUCAACCGAGAAACGUCGGCUGAUACUGCCGUUCUUGAGGGAUGCAGAGGAGACUGGAAUUCCCGGUGUAGCGGUGAAAUGCGCAGAUAUCAGGAGGAACACCGAUGGCGAAGGCAGGUCUCUGGGCAUUAACUGACGCUGAGGCGCGAAAGCUAGGGUAGCAAACGGG
rnacentral:rRNA from 1 species